UUCUUUAGAACACUUUUACCUUAAUAAAAUAAAGCGUCUGUCAUUCAUUUUUAUAGUAUGACCAAUUAGUUUUUUUCUAUCUCUUUCUAGCCAUUUCUAUGGAGACUCGGAUGGAGACAGUGAAAAUGAAAAUUCCCCCCACAAAACAGGGGUCCAACCACUAACGGGACAGUUGUCCCUCCAAUCAUUGCCUCCUCCUAACUAUUCCAUGUACUCCAUAACCAGCAGGACAGCGAACACGCCAGGGGGACACGCCCACCUGGCGAGGGGCGUGGUGUGGUUCAGACACCAUUGCCUGCUGUGCUGUUCCAGUUCAAAUCCUAGGCAUGCUGGAGACAAUUACAGAGGUGAGAGACCCGGUUCCGUUUCCGUGUACCACAAUGGAGGAAGUGGACCUUUUGAGCAACGGCUCAAAGAUCCCGUCAACAUUCUAAUGAGUGGUGAGUUUUUUUGUUUUAAGAAUCUCACGCAAAGCUGAUUAAAAUCUAUUGUAUGUAAUUAACACUAGACAAUACCAUGUUUGAUGGAAAUGUUUUUUCAAACAUUCUGUAAAGUAUCAAAUAUUAAUCGUACUUUUUCGAUCCAUUUUCGAUUUCCUCCCUGGCAACGAUCGGACGACAUGAUGCCAAACGUGGAACAUCCCCGAAUGAAUGGAAAAAAAUUAUUCAGUCAAAUGACAUCUAAGACUUUGCUCCUGCAUGCCGUCAGAAAGAAUCAUGCCACACAUGCAUCCACUGAUGAACAGAUUCUAAAGCAUGCCAUUAGGUGGUUCAAUCUGGCAGCAA